rnacentral:misc_RNA from 1 species
CAACCCUCAAGCAAUGCUUGGUAUUGGGCUUCGCUACUCACCUAGCGGGCCUUAAAAUCAGUGGCGGUGCCGUCGUGGCUCUGAGCGUAGUAAAAUAUCCUCGCUACAGAGACUUGGUGGAUACUGGCCAUCAACCCCCCACACUCUAA